rfam:Gossypium arboreum cultivar AKA8401 contig_32303_3, whole genome shotgun sequence.
UGUUAAAAUUUUCAUCUAAUUCUACUAUUAAAAACUUAUGUGAUUGACAAAAUAGCUAGGCAAAUAUGGCACAUCACGUGUAUCUCAUUCUAAUGUACAGGGACUAGUAUUUAACAAUAAAAAUAGAUGGAAUUUUUAACA